rnacentral:rRNA from 1 species
AUUGAACGCUGGCGGCAGGCCUAACACAUGCAAGUCGAACGAGUGGCGGACGGGUGAGUAAUGUCUGGGAAACUGCCUGAUGGAGGGGGAUAACUACUGGAAACGGUAGCUAAUACCGCAUACCAUCAGAUGUGCCCAGAUGGGAUUAGCUAGUUGGUGGGGUAACGGCUCACCAAGGCGACGAUCCCUAGCUGGUCUGAGAGGAUGACCAGCCACACGUGAACUGAUACACGGGCCAGACUCCUACGGGAGGCAGCGUUGGGGAAUAUUGCAAAAUGGGCGCAAGCCGGAUGCAGCCAUGCCGCGGGGAUGAAGAAGGCCUUCGGGUUGUAAAGUACUUUCAGCGGGGAGGCGUUACCCGCAGAAGAAGCACCGGCUAACUCCGUGCCAGCAGCCGCGGUAAUAC